rnacentral:rRNA from 1 species
AGCGAACGCUGGCGGCAGGCCUAACACAUGCAAGUCGAACGAAGCCUUCGGGCUUAGUGGCGGACGGGUGAGUAACACGUGGGAACGUGCCCUUUGGUACGGAAUAACUCAGGGAAACUUGAGCUAAUACCGUAUGUGCCCUUCGGGGGAAAGAUUUAUCGCCAUUGGAGCGGCCCGCGUCUGAUUAGCUAGUUGGGGAGGUAAAGGCUCACCAAGGCUACGAUCAGUAGCUGGUCUGAGAGGAUGGUCAGCCACAUUGGGACUGAGACACGGCCCAAACUCCUACGGGAGGCAGCAGUGGGGAAUCUUGCGCAAUGGGCGAAAGCCUGACGCAGCCAUGCCGCGUGAAUGAUGAAGGUCUUAGGAUUGUAAAAUUCUUUCACCGGGGACGAUAAUGACGGUACCCGGAGAAGAAGCCCCGGCUAACUUCGUGCCAGCCGCCGCAGUAA